GAAUGGCUCAUUAAAACAGCUAUAAUCUACUCGAUCUUGUUUCCUAAACGGAUAACUGCGCUAAUUUUGGAGCUAAUACGUGCAUCAAAGCCCUGACGAAAGGAGGGGCGCACUUAUUAGACUAAGACCGAUCGGGUUCGUCCCGUCUUGGUGACUCUGAAUAAUUUAGCGGAUCGCAUGGUCUUGUACCGGCGACGUAUCGUUCGAGUAUCUGCCUUAUCAACUUUCGAUGGAAGUCUAUGUGACUACCAUGGUUGUAACGGGUAACGGAGAAUAAGGGUUCGACUCCGGAGAGGGAGCCUGAGAAACGGCUACCACAUCCAAGGAAGGCAGCAGGCGCGUAAAUUACCCACUCUCAAUGCGAGGAGGUAGUAACUAUCAAUAACGAGACAGAUCUCUAUGAGGCCUGUUAUCGGAAUGGGUACAAUUUAAACCC
rnacentral:rRNA from 1 species